UGUAUAAGAGACAGCAGCGCCGCGGUAAUACGGAGGGUGCAAGCGUUAAUCGGAAUUACUGGGCGUAAAGCGCACGCAGGCGGUCUGACAAGUCAGAUGUGAAAUCCCCGGGCUUAACCUGGGAACUGCAUUUGAAACUGUCAGGCUGGAGUCUUGUAGAGGGGGGUAGAAUUCCAGGUGUAGCGGUGAAAUGCGUAGAGAUCUGGAGGAAUACCGGUGGCGAAGGCGGCCCCCUGGACAAAGACUGACGCUCAGGUGCGAAAGCGUGGGGAGCAAACAGGAUUAGAUACCCCAGUAGUCCCUGUCUCUUAUACA
rnacentral:rRNA from 1 species